rnacentral:ncRNA from 1 species
CCAAGGAAUCUAUGAGUCCGUAGGUUUCAAACCCAUGAGGUGCAAGGAAACUGAAUUGUUUGAUCCCCCCUCUGGGGAGCAACAUGGACCGACCUUGAUUUUUUGUGAAGGUUUGAGUUUGAGCAUACCUGUUAGGACCCGAAAGAUGGUGAACUAUGUCUCAGCAGAGCAAAGCCAAAGGAAACUCUGGUGGAGGCCUAUAACAAUACUGAUAUGUAAGUCGUUUGUCAAACUCGGGGUGAAAGAUUAAUUGAACCAUCUAGUAGUUAGUUCUUUCUGAAGUUUCCCUUAAGAUAGCUAGAGCUCAUCUACGAAGUUUCAUUGGGUAAAGCGAAUGAUUAGAGGCCUCGGAGGUGAAAUGCCCUUAAUCUAUUCUCAAACUUUAAAUAGGUGAGACAUUGGGGUUGCUCCAUUGAACCCCAGCUAUGGAAUCUGAGCUCCGAGUGGGCCAUUCAUGGUUAAGCAAAUCAACUAGGCCAUUUUUAGUACUUUUGUCUAGGGUGUAAGAUCAUCUGUCUUAUAACCUGAUACCAAUCAAAACCAACAUGAUAACCCUAACAUUUCUUAUGUCACCUCCUACAGUUUGGGUGUAUCUAUAUUGUAGGGUUUUAUUUUGGCUGCCAAAAAGCCAUUUGAAAUGGCUUUUUGGUAGAGAAAAUGUUAAAAGCUUUAAUACAAAUUAGUGUCAUCUGAAAAGUCAAUGGCCGUGACAAUUUCCUUAAGCAGCUUAAAAAUUAAAAAACAGCACAUGUGUGCCAACUUAAUUAUGAAUCAACAAUGUCAAUAUCAGGCAAUUCAUGAGAAAUUUCAAGUGAUGCCAGUUGUUGCCCUGAACUGUUGGUAUUGGGCUGGUCCAAAUCAGUUAACAAACAGAUUUUCCUUUUUCUGACUGCAGCAGCACUCGAAUCUCCCUUAUUUAGAUGUUUGCACUUGAAAGGAGGAGGCAUGGGAGAUGCAGGUAAGCUCUCCACACCAGUUACUUAGUCCAUGUCAUCCCCAUGGCCACUAAUCUCACUAUCAUGCAUAGUAUUGCGUACUAUCAGCCUGGAUAGAAGUAAACGAAGAAGUUUACCUCCCAUUAAACCUAAGAUCAGAAUCCCGGUUGAAGUCAUCAUCUUCGUCUUCAGACAUGGAAUCAUCAGCGUCAACUUCCGCAUAAGACCUGAAACCUGUGGUUGUGUGGCCUGUGCCACUGCCUCCUACAACUGGAGAGUCGUUCUCUUUUGGAAUAUCAAAUUCUCCUCCAGUCCACGUUGCAGAGCUGCAAGAAGUUUUAAAUUCCUUCCUAUCCCAAAUUCGACGGUUUUGGUAUGAACGAGCAUCUCAGCCCGCUCUGGAUGCAAUCUACACACAGGCAAGUGACACCAAUGUCAGACAAGUUCUUCAUGUUUUAUAAAUGAACAAAGGGGUUACUUGUCCCGCUUUAGUGUCAAGACGUUGCUGCAUGUACUAAAAUUCCGCUUAGCUGCAGAAUUCGAAGUUGUCAAACCAAGAAUAUAGCAUGCAAACCUCUAAAGCACUGCCCCCAAGUCACAGCUGAAGCUGACCGCAGAGGCCCAAACAUGCCAAGGUGAAUCUCCAUCCUUGCCUUUCUCAAGCAAUUCUUGUGCAUCACAGCUGUCUGCAAUGGAAAAGGGGCCAGUUCCAUCGACGUACACAAAGUACUCUUGAUUUAGCUUGUGGGCAUCUUCAGCAUUUGGAUAGAAACAAUGUCGAACACAACUGAAUGCUGUUGUCGCUUCCUGUCUGUUCCUAUCCUCCCUAUAACGCGGAUUUACACACCAGGCUGCCCCAAACAAGUCACAGGAUCUCAUGUAUUGAUCCUCCUGUUUCUGCAGAAAGUCUUCAAGCUGCUGUUUGUCCUCCACACUGAAACCUGUAACUGCUGCUGUCUUGAACUUCAAAAAACGCUAUGCUUGCCACACAAAGCCAAUGGUUGAAGCUGAGCGAUCAAAGAACUUGAUUGCCAUCACCACUGGCUCCAUCAACUGCAUCACCUUCUCAACACCCGCCUAGAAAUUAAAAUCCUCCACUACCGUCAUGGCUUGGUUAGCAGUCUCUGUUGUCAUUGUGGGUUGGCUUUAUAGCCAAUCUUUAAAUCCAGUAUUCCUAAACAACCUUUGCAAUGCUCCACACUCUUCCCAUAAUCACCUGAGCAUGUAAUAAUAGGUUCCAAACCUGUGAAAGAAACAAAAAAAGUGUUAAAGUCAGUAACAGACAGUUACACAACUCUAAUACUCACCGAGUAGUGACAGGUCUGACAAGUUGCCGCUUAGGAUGCUGAGCUUGAUAAAAAGCAUACACACGAGUGGAGUUCUUCACAAAUUGAACUAUACACUUCCCUGUGUCCAGAUAUUGUUUGAUGUUGUCCAAACCUGCCCAAGACGUUAGUACAAGGUUCAGAGCAUGAAACUGGCAUAGAACACUCCACAUAUCUUCAAACUCAGCUUCGAAUUUAUGUCUAACAAGCUGCAUGUUGGUUGCAUUGUCUGUUACUAUUGCUGAUAAUCCACACUUCCUCUUUAUACACCGCAUUUGAUCAUGUAAUGUGUUUCCAUUGCCAGGGAUGUUGCUUAUGGCUACAUUUGCAUCAUCAGUGAGUACUCGAGUGUUUAUAGCUGAAACCACACUCUUCAAUUUGCUAUACAAGAUAUCAGCUGCAUUGCAAAGCAAACAAGUUAAUUGGAUGUUACAUGAAAAAGCAAUCCAUACCUUAAGAUUCACAGCACUCAAAUGAGGCAUAAAAAAACUCUUCAUGGUGUGCUGCAUGAACGAUCAUAAUAUUCUGAAUAUGCAACCCACUAACUGUCUUCCAACUGUCUGUUACCAAGCAAAGCGGUCGUGGGCUGUACGCACCUGUAGCUUUCUCAAGUUGUUGAUCAAUGCACUCAACCGUUUUAUGGUAUAUCUCAUCCAAAAAGUCUUCAUGCAAAGCCUUCAGCAAAGGCAAAGGAAACAUGGAACUGCAUUGGGCGUGUCUACCAACUGCUAGGUUGAACACUCUGACCUCGAUAUAAACUCCCAAUGCAUACUCCUUCUGCUAUGCCUUGAGUUCUUCAGGGGUCAACACCCUUCCUGUGAUUCCUUUGAGAGCUACUGUUUCCUGCAAGAUACGACUUGUUGAGCCUGUCUGAGGCCGUGUAGUAGACACUAUUAUAUCAAUCUGAUUCCCAGCUGCGCAUAAACCACCCACAGAGAUGCAGCCAAUUGUAGCUAACUCAGUCUCUCAAACCUGUUGCCACAAUCGCUCUACAUCAACUGGUCUUCACCCUCCAAAAAUUCUAUCCAUUCCCAUGCUUUGUUGUCUUUACUGCUCGGAAAGGCAAACAUGUUCAGCCUGCGUUCAAUACUCCCACUAGCUUGAGGAGUUGAUCCUCCAACACUACAGGCAUCUUCAUCCAAUUGUUGCGACCCUGAAGCUCCUUGAUUGCUAAACCGUGUCAUUCUACCACUACCAUAUCGUUCGAACUCCGCAAGCUUGAUGUUGUACGUCUCAAUAUUGUUCCUUGCUACAGACACAAACUCCUUACUGAACUCUUGUAUUGGCCUGCGACAAUAUAGCAGGGUUUUAUUCAAAGUUACUUUUUGGCAUUUUGAAUAAUUAUGACCUUUUAAUUAAGCAUAACCCUUGAACCUUUAACCCUGCCGGAGAAAAGAUUCGACAGUAGUCAUUCUACCAUUACCAUAUCGUUCGAACUCCACAAGCUUGAUGUUGUAUGUCUCAAUAUUGUUCCUUGCUACAGACACAAACUCCUUACUGAACUCUUGUAUUGGCCUGGGACAAUAUAGUAGGGUUUUAUAGUAGGGUGAAAAACAAGGAUUAGUAAUGCAAUCUCAACUAACUCUCAAUUUUUUUUGUAAAAGUACAAAGAUAGAAUUCAAGAAUGAAAUGAAACUUGCAUAUGACUAAUAUUCAUUAGCCAAUGUUCUCAGGUACAUGUCCAAGCCACGCAUCAGAAGUGACUUCCAAAGAUUGAAUCUAAAGAGCAUGUUCAACCUGAUUGUUUUCUAUUACUUCAUAAAUCUUGCCAUCCAGUCUAGUCACUGUCAUCCCAUCCUUUUUCUAUGGGGGUGAUUAUACAUUGGAUCAGUCAAUAUCAUAAGUGGUACCUAAGCAGAGUUGGUGAUUGUCCCUUGCAUUGCUGUGUUAGGUUCUAGUGUUCUAGCUGUAAAAACUUCCUACAGGCCGGGGGAGGGAAUGCAAAUGAAUCUUUUGUACCCAUUUGUGUGGCCAGGAAAACAUUAGAGAGAUUCCUUGCAACCUUAGUGUUGGGCGUGAGCUCAUUUUGAGCUAAACCCAAGCAAACACUUCAUUAGCACUACUCAUUUUUGUGAUGUGCAAAAAAGCGGCUAUUGAUCCUGGUGUGGGCAAAAAAUGCGCAUGGCUGCGCUAGCGCACAGCCUUGUAGCUGCCCAACCCUGCUCUACUUGUCGAUGCACUCCUGGAGAAUGUGCCAUCGCUUCAUACCUUUUGGUAUGAGAAAAUCUAGCACUUACUGCCAUGAAGUCAAAUAACUAUAGUUUGUAACUAGGUUUGCAUAGCCGUAUAGUGUGUCUCCCAGCAUGAGAUUUUGCAAAGAAUCCAAAGUCUUGUUUUUUACCAUGCCACAUCUACUCAUAUGUCCCAUUAUCAUGUUGAUGGGUUUUUGUAAACAAAACUUCUUGUUAAAAAAUCUUGUUAUCAAACCAUGGAGACAGUCUGAUCUUGGAGGAACCGGAGUUGUAGAAGAAUUAGUGAUGUGGGAUGAACUGAAAGCCAAGCUAAGGCACCCAAAUGUGUGCUAACCCAGAUCUCACAAAAGGUGUUGAUUGAUUAAAACAGUAGGACAGUGGUCAUGAAAGUCGAAAUCCACUAAAGAGUGUGUAACAACUCACUUGCUAAAUCAAUUAGCCCCGAAAUGGAUGGCACUUAAGCGUGUUGCCUAUGCUCAGCCAUUAUGGCAAUUUCGGUUGUUGAUAAACAAGCAGGAAUCCAGAGAAACAGCUCAG